rnacentral:rRNA from 1 species
GACGAACGCUGGCGGCGCGCCUAACACAUGCAAGUCGAACGGUCUUUUGGAUGCUUGCAUCCGGAAGAAAGUGGCGAACGGGUGAGUAACACGUGAGCAACCUGCCUUUCAGCGGGGGAUAACACCAGGAAACUGGUGCUAAUACCGCGUACGGUACACUCUCGGCAUCGAGAGAGUAAGAAACGACUUAGGUCGGCUGAAAGAUGGGCUCGCGUCCGAUUAGGUAGUUGGUGGGGUAAUGGCCUACCAAGCCGACGAUCGGUAGCCGGACUGGGAGGUUGAACGGCCACAUUGGGACUGAGACACGGCCCAGACUCCUACGGGAGGCAGCAGUGGGGGAUAUUGCACAAUGGGGGAAACCCUGAUGCAGCGACGUCGCGUGAGGGAAGAAGGUUUUCGGAUUGUAAACCUCUGUCCAUGGGGAAGAAAGAAAUGACGGUACCCGUGGAGGAAGCCACGGCUAACUACGUACCAGCAGCCGCCGUAAGAC